rnacentral:snRNA from 1 species
AUCACUUCUCGGCCUUUUGGCUAAGAUCAAGUGAAGAAAUUCUCAGAUUCUUAAAAGGAGCUGGACAUUUUCAUCAAUGUUUAUUUCAAAGGCAGGUUGAUACAUUGAUUAUAAAUAUGGGAUCUCACAUUUUUUUAAUCCAGUUAUGAGGGACACAGCUCUCUUUCAUUGCUUUGUAA